UAAGCAUAUCAAUAAGCGGAGGAAAAGAAACCAACAGGGAUUGCCUUAGUAACGGCGAGUGAAGCGGCAACAGCUCAAAUUUGAAAUCUGGCUCCUUCGGGGUCCGAGUUGUAAUUUGCAGAGGAUGCUUCGAGUUAUGGUUCCUUCCGAGUUCCCUGGAACGGGACGCCAUAGAGGGUGAGAGCCCCGUCUGGUAGGAAACCAUGCUCAUGUGAAGCUCCCUCGACGAGUCGAGUAGUUUGGGAAUGCUGCUCUAAGGGGAGGUAUACUCCUUCCAAGGCUAAAUACCGGCUAGAGACCGAUAGCGCACAAGUAGAGUGAUCGAAAGAUGAAAAGUACUUUGAAAAGAGAGUCAAACAGCACGUGAAAUUGUUAAAAGGGAAGCGCUCGCUACCAGACGUGGGUUCGGUGGUUCAACCAGGUCCAUGACCUGGGGCACUCCGCCGGCCCAGGCCAGCAUCAGCUUUCCGUCGGGGGCAAAGGCGUCGGGAAUGUGGCUCUCCUUCGGGGGAGUGUUAUAGCCCGUCGCGUCAUACCCUUCGGGGGGCUGAGGUACGCGCUCCGCAAGGAUGCUGGCGUAAUGGUAGCUAGUGACCCGUCUUGAAACACGGACCAAGGAGUCAACCUUAUGUGCGAGUGCCCGGGCGUAAAACCCCAGCGCGGAAUGAAAGUGAACGUAGGUGAGAGCUUCGGCGCAUCACCGACCGAUCCUGAUGUCCUCGGACGGAUUUGAGUGAGAGCAUAUAGGGUUGGACCCGAAAGAAGAUGAACUAUGCGUGUGUAGGGUGAAGCCAGAGGAAACUCUGGUGGAGGCUCGCAGCGGUUCUGACGUGCAAAUCGAUCGUCAAACAUGCGCAUGGGGGCGAAAGACUAAUCGAAUCUUCUGGUAGCUGGUUUCCGCCGAA
rnacentral:rRNA from 1 species